rnacentral:rRNA from 1 species
UACGUAGGCAACAAGCGUUGUUCGGAAUUACUGGGCGUAAAGAGUGUGUAGGUGGUGUCGUAAGUUUGGUGUGAAAUCUCCCGGCUUAACUGGGAGGGUGCGCCGAAGACUGCGAUGCUGGAGUAUGGGAGAGGAAAGCGGAAUUCCUGGUGUAGCGGUGAAAUGCGUAGAUAUCAGGAGGAACACCUGCGGUGUAGACGGCUUUCUGGACCAUUACUGACACUGAGACACGAAAGCGUGGGUAGCAAACAGG